rnacentral:rRNA from 1 species
CUAGAACAUCCGCAUCUUCUUGUUUCUAAAAGACCUAGAUCUUCAUGUUCUUGUUUCNAAAAGACCUAGCAAUAGGUAUGCUUAGGGAGGAGCUUGCGUCACAUUAGUUAGUUGGUGGGGUAAAGGCCUACCAAGACUAUGAUGUGUAGCCGGGCUGAGAGGUUGAACGGCCACAUUGGGACUGAGACACGGCCCAAACUCCUACGGGAGGCAGCAGUAGGGAAUUUUCGGCAAUGGAGGAAACUCUGACCGAGCAACGCCGCGUGAACGAUGAAGUAUUUCGGUACGUAAAGUUCUUUUAUUAGGGAAGAAUAAAUGAUGGAAAAAUCAUUCUGACGGUACCUAAUGAAUAAGCCCCGGCUAACUAUGUGCCAGCAGCCGCGGUAAUACAUAGGGGGCAAGCGUUAUCCGGAAUUAUUGGGCGUAAAGGGUGCGUAGGCGGGUAAAUAAGUUUAUGGUCUAAGUGCAAUGCUCACAUUGGGAUGCUAUAAAACUGUUUAGCUAGAGUAAGAUAGAGGCAAGUGGAAUCCCAUGUGUAGUGGUAAAAUGCGUAAAUAUAUGGAGGAACACCAGUAAGCGAAGGCGGCUUGCAGGGCCUUUACUGACGCUGAGGCACGAAAGCGUGGGGAGCAACCAGGAUUAAAUCCCCUGGUAGUCCACCCCCUAAACGAUGAGUACUNAACGUGGGGUAAACCCAGGGUGGAAGUUAACACAUUAAGAACUCCCCCGGAGUAGUACGUACCCAAGUAUGAACCUUAAAGGAAUUGACGGGCNUCCCCACAAGCGGUGGAUCAUGUUGUUUAAUUCGAAGGUACCCGAAAAACCUCACCAGGUCUUGACAUGCUUCUGCAAAGCUGUAGAAACACAGUGGAGGUUAUCAGUUGCACAGGUGGUGCAUGGUUGUCGUCAGCUCGUGUCGUGAGAUGUUGGGUUAAGUCCCGCAACGAGCGCAACCCUUAUUGUUAGUUACCAGCACGUAAUGGUGGGGACUUUAGCAAGACUGCCAGUGAUAAAUUGGAGGAAGGUGGGGACGACGUCAAAUCAUCAUGCCCCUUAUGACCUGGGCUACAAACGUGAUACAAUGGCUGUUACAAAGGGUAGCUGAAGCGCAAGUUUUUGGCGAAUCUCAAAAAAACAGUCUCAGUUCGGAUUGAAGUCUGCAACUCGACUUCAUGAAGUUGAAUCGCUAGUAAUCGCGGUAAGCAUGCCCUUGGGAUCC